rnacentral:rRNA from 1 species
CAGCAGCAGCCGCGGGAACACAGAGGGUGCGAGCGUUAAUCGGAUUUACUGGGCGUAAAGCGUGCGUAGGCGGCUUCUUAAGUCGGAUGUGAAAUCCCUGAGCUUAACUUAGGAAUUGCAUUCGAUACUGGUAAGCUAGAGUAUGGGAGAGGAUGGUAGAAUUCCAGGUGUAGCGGUGAAAUGCGUAGAGAUCUGGAGGAAUACCGAUGGCGAAGGCAGCCAUCUGGCCUAAUACUGACGCUGAGGUACGAAAGCAUGGGGAGCAAACAGGAUUAGAUACCCCCGUAGUCCCUGUCUCUUAUAC